rnacentral:rRNA from 1 species
CAGCCAUAUAGAAUUGAAACACUGGUUCCUGUACAAUCACUGAAGUUAAGCAAUGUCGAGUCUGGUCAGUACCUAGCUGGGUGACCACUUGGAAAUACCAGGUGCUGUAA